GGCUGUGGUAACUCAGUGGUUAAGAUGUUGGACUACUAAUGGGAAGGUCUUGAGUUGAAAUCUCAGUGCUGCCA